rnacentral:sRNA from 1 species
CACCUCAGCCGGGGCAUCACCGCUCACGC